rnacentral:rRNA from 1 species
CGAAGAACCUUACCAGGUCUUGACAUCUUUUGACAAUCCUAGAGAUAGGACUUUCCCUUCGGGGACAAAAUGACAGGUGGUGCUUGGUUGUCGUCAGCUCGUGUCGUGAGAUGUUGGGUUAAGUCCCGCAACGAGCGCAACCCUUAUUGUUAGUUGCCAGCAUUAAGUUGGGCACUCUAGCAAGACUGCCGGUGACAAACCGGAGGAAGGUGGGGAUGACGUCAAAUCAUCAUGCCCCUUAUGAUCUGGGCUACACACGUGCUACAAUGGACGGUACAACGAGUCGCAAGACCGCGAGGUUUAGCAAAUCUCUUAAAGCCGUUCUCAGUUCGGAUUGUAGGCUGCAACUCGCCUACAUGAAGUCGGAAUCGCUAGUAAUCGCGGAUCAGCAUGCCGCGGUGAAUACGUUCCCGGGCCUUGUACACACCGCCCGUCACACCAUGAGAGUUUGUAACACCCAAAGCCGGUGGGGUAACCUUUUGGAGCCAGCCGUCUAAGGUGGGACAGAUG